CCCAGCCGCUCUGGGCGUUACUGUGUAGAGCAGUCGGACACUGUGGAACCUGUCUGACCGGUUCAAAGCUCAUUCAUUCAUUCCCUUGAGAGAUCGACAUGGAACCGUUGGUCCAUUCAGAACAGCCCCCUGAUCAGCUCCACCCCCUAAACCUGAGUGAGGGUCGGGGACUGGGGAAAGACAUGGUUAUUUACUAAAGGCUUGUCUUACUUUCUUCUCACUUUCUCCAUCCGACUGCCUCUCUGAAAUAAAACAAAGAACGGUGGCUUCAGAAAUCUUUCCAAAUUGACGUACCUGUAAUUGAACAAAAACAGAGUUGCUGGAAAAGCUCAGCAGGUCUGGCAGCAUCUGUGGAGGAAAAAACAGAGUUAACGAUUCGGGUCCGGUGCAUUUUUCGGUCCGCAUCUGAGUGGACUUACACAGGCUCUUGUUGAACUUCCUUUUACAACUCUCUGCAUGAUUGCAUGGCAUCUUGCCACAUUUGGAAGUCUUCCAAGGUGUAUGUUAAAGAUGAAAGGCAGCAAUUUGAAGAUCAGCAGGUCGGGAAACCAAGGACUCAGUUGCAGGGGAGGAGCAGCUUGAAAAAUCUUCAUCAAAAUAAAGAACAAGAAAGAAGAAUUAGCUUCAAGAUAGCUUGAGAUAGUAUGAUUACUUUUGCUUUAUGCUGUAAGAAUGUUUUAUGCUUGUUUUAAAUGUUUAAUUUGGGGAUGGUAAAUUUGUCAGAAAAUUAAAAUGUGUAAGGGUACAGGAUAAAUCUUUGUACUGUUUAUGAUUUAAAAUAAUUUCCAAAUGUUUUUGAUCAGAUAAACCAUAAAAAGGUUAGAGCUUUAAUUAACUAAAUUAUUUGGUCCAGCAGAUUAUAGGUUUAAUAAUAAAGCAGUAAUGUUUCUAUGACUAUUGGGGUGUAUAGACAGCAUAUUGCUGAAAGUUAGUUUGAAUGUAGCUGACAAGGUUUUGGAGUAGUUUGUAGCUGUUUGGAGUUUUGGAGUAGUUUGUAGCUGGGUGUUGUGGCUGGUUGGCUCGCCGAGCUGGUUUGUUGUUCUGCCGACGUUUCAUUCCCCUGCUGGGUAGCAUCAUCAGUGCAGCCUCCGAUGAAGUGCCGAUGUGUUUUCCCGCCUGGUAUUUGAACUCUGGUGUCCGUGGAGCUGGAUUACCUCAAUUCCGGUUUUCCUUCACAGUGCGUGUAUAUGGGGUUGUGCUCAAUAUGUUUGUUGAUAGCUUUCUUCGUGGAGUACCAGGCUUCGAGGAAUUCCUGUGCUUGUCUCUGCUUUACCUGUCCCAGGAUCCUGGUGUUGUCCUAAUCAAAUUGGUGGCUGUCCUUAUCCGUGUGCAUAGAGGUGCGUGAGUAUUGGUCAUGCCUUUUUGUAGCCAAUUGAUGUACGUGUGCCCUUGUGGUUAAUUUCCUUCCUGUUUGUUCAACAUAGUGUAUGUCACUGUCUCUGCAGGGCAUCUUGUACGUGACAUUAGUCCUGUCCAUAGUGGGUCUUUGGUUCAGGUGAGCAGUUGGUGAAGGGUUGAUUUGGGUUUGUGUGCUACUCUGAUACCCAGUGAUUGUAGGAAUCUUGUGGUCAGUUCUGAUGAGCUCCUGAAGUAAGGUAGUGUGAUGAAUGUGUCGGGGCGUGUAGUAUCUUCCUGGUGUCGCUCGUGUGAUAGGCAUCUUCUGACCCAGUUUUUCGGACAUCCAUUGUCCAUGAAUACCUGGAAGAGGUACUCUUCUUCUUCUCAGUGUAGCUCUGUGCUGCUGCAAUGUCUUAUAGCCCGUUUAAAUAAUGCUCUCAUGCAACUUUGUUGAAUUCCUAACAAAGGUAUACAGGAAAGCCACGCACACUGCUGAAUUUCGCCAGCAACCACCCUAACACACACAAACAAAGUCGCAGGACUGUAGAUAUAUGGGAAUAUAACCACCACUGCCCCUCACCAUCCUAACUUGGAAUUACAUCAUUCUUCCUUCAAUGUUGCCAGGUCAAAAUCCAGAAACUCCUUUACCAACAGCUUUGUGGGUGUAUUUACAACACAUAAGCUGCCGCAGUUCCUUACCACCACCUACCCCAGAGCAGUAAGGAUGAGCAAUAAAUGCUGGCCUCGACAGCAAUGCCAGGAAUGAGUUAAGAAACGGUCAACUCAGGAUUUCAGACUAAACUCUGGAAGUGCUGCAAGGCUACGAAGUGUACAGUCAGGGUGUGAGGGAUACUGCUGAGGUUAGUCAGAAAGUGCAGCUGAGAAUGGAAAGCAGAGAUGCUGCUGGGGCAUGGGGAAUCUGCUAGGACCAAGUAGAAGGGGUUUCUUGGUGUAGAUACUUGUGCAGAUUCACUGCUAUUAGAGUCUCACAGAUAUCGUUCAUGAUGUUCACAGGCUUUCAUUUGUGGGUACUGUAGGUUUGAACAUGCAAUAAUGUGCUGAAGAUUUGGCAGUCACUGCUAACUGACUGAAUGUGUUCUACUUAAUAGCUUCAUUUCCAACAGUGAAACAAAAUGCCCUUCCUCUAGCUGUGACUGCGUUCCCGUCCGUAAAAUUCAGCCUACUACUGGUGAUGGGGAUGUUAUUGUGAGGGGGAGGGAAUGCAGAUG